UGGGAGAGGCUAAAUCUCCGUCACCUCGUCGCGCCGGUCACUUCAGCUACACAACUUCUGAUGACGUCAUCUCUACUUUCGUUUCGGGUCUAAAUGAAAAUAAUGCUGUGGUGCAGUGCAGAAUCGGAGACUGCAAAAACAAUAUGCCAAAACACUUUUGUUGUGUUGAGGUUACCGGUGUUAAUCCGAUACCUCAGCCUGUAGUCCUGUCUCCCAAUACCUAAAGGAAAACACUGAAAAGAAACUUCAUCGACCAUCAUCGACUGAAAGAGUUGUGGUCAGCUUGUCAAGUGAGAAUGGCUGGAUUAGAUCAACUGGUAUUAUCAUGGAAUAACAAUCAACAUGUCUUGACAAAUUCCCAGGAGGCAGAUCUGGAUUUCUGCCCAGAUUUACAGAGUGUUGCUUCUCAGGCCCUGGAAUCUCUUAAGUCUGUGGAACUGAAUUCGAACAUCAGUUCAACUGUGUAGAAAACCACCAACUCGUCAAAAUCACCUUACUGUUGUACCUUCUGCUGUAACACAGGCAUUUUUUAUGUUAGCAUUUUAUUAACAGUUGACAGAAGAUGCCAUGAGUGAAGACUGUUUAAAAAUUUGCAAAUUGCAAAAGGAUUCAAGAAAGGGAAGUGGGAGAAGUUAAGAAUGUUAUAGAGGAAGGGAGAAUAGAGAAGCAGUUAAAUGCUAGUGUAAAAGAGAAAGCUGGAAACAGAAAUAAAAGGAGUGUAGUGAGAGAAACGAAAAUGAGAAUUGAAGGGAGAAUAGAAGAUGUUGUAAGUAAGUAAGGUGUGUAAAAUGUUAUGUUGUUUAAUAUUGAUUUAAUAAAACAUAAAUUUAUUUGA